rnacentral:pre_miRNA from 7 species
AUAUAACACACAUUGAAAGAUCCCUGAAGGGAGACCCUUACUCAAGUCUCAGGACCAUGGCGGACCCCCAAGAACUCACAGAUACCA